GAAGCAAAAGAAGUAGAGGGAAGAGGAAGAGAAAAGAGAAAAGAAAGGAAAAAGAAAUAAAAGGAAGGAAGAAAGAAAGGAAGGAAGAAGGAAAGAAAGAAGAAAAGAAAGAAAGAAGAAAGAAAGAAGAAAGACACCUUAAGUAGUAAUGACUGGUUAAAGAGAAAAUGGAACCUUCCUGGAACAUUUGACCACGUGAGAUGAAGCGAGGACUCCAAAUCAGCAGACGGACCGAGCCAACCCAACAACAGAAGGACUUGAUUAACAAAGCCUGCACCUUUUGCCUGGGCAGAUCAUCAGCAUGUCUGCCCCUCUAAAGACCCCACAGUCUGAAGGCUCCCAGGAGAUCCUCUGUACCCAUAGCAACCUGGCAAUAGGGUACAUCAUCAGUGUGAUCCUCUGAAGACCCUACAGUUUGAAGGUCUACCAGAAGAUCUGCUGCAGGCAGAUACUUUGGAACCACAAGAACCCAGUUCUCUCAUCACAGCAAACUCUGGAUACCCCAACACACCUGAAAAUCAGAAUGCUGACCUAAAAUCCAAUUUCACAAAGAUAAUAGCAUCCUUUAAGGAGGAUCUAAAUAACUCACCGAAAGAAGCAUAGGGAAACACAGGUAAGCAUGUUGAAGCCCUUAAAGAUGAAACAAAUAAAUUCUUUUAAAAAUACAGGAAAACA